rnacentral:lncRNA from 1 species
UGCUCAUAAGAUAAGUGAGAGUAGUAGGGGUAGGAAUAUUAAUCUUGAUCUUGAUUUGGAAAAGCCAGAAAAGGAUAGUGGUGUAAGUGGCAGAUUUCAACAGCACGGUCAAAAGUUGCAGCAGCAACAGCAGCACCACCAACCACCUCCUCCUUCACAAAAAGCUACUAAAGAAGAAUCAGUUCUUGAAAAAACUGGUAAGUUGAUUUUCUUGAAUCUGUAAUGAGUUCUUCCCCUGGAUUUUACUGAUGGGGUGAUCUUUCUUUGUUCAGGUCAAUCCAGCUCUUUGCCUAUGCCAAUGUCUAUGACUAGUUGGCCUGGUGGGCUUCCUCCCAUGGGGUACGGUCGGCUUGACUUAUUGUGUUUCAGUGCUCUCAUUUAAUUGAUAUUACAAGUAUUAGAUCCAUGGUGUAAAUGCUGUGUUUCUCUGGCGAAAUAACUCACAAUUCCUGUCAGCAGAUACAUGGCGCCUUUACAAGGAGUUGUAGCUAUGGAUGGAAGCACAGUUUCUUCUGCUGCUCCAAUGCAGGUAUUUUUCUUUGUAUUUCUUUCACUUCAAUGGUUGAAGUUUUUACAUUCAUGCUUCUACCCCUUUUAAACUCUGAAAUUUUAUGCAGCCUCUAUUCUCUCAACCAAGGCCAAAAAGAUGUGCAACACAUUGUUACAUUGCUAGGAACAUACAUUGUCUUCAGCAAUUCAUGAAGAUGCAUCCUUUCUGGCCCCCUGCUGCUGGCGCUGCACCCUUCUUUGGAGCCAAGACCAAUCUUAAUGUUAUGCCAUCGGCUGAUCUCCAUGGAAACUUAGCUGGUAGGGGAGCAAGUGCUGGGCCAGAUAAGGGGCAGGGGAUUGCUAUCUUCCCUAGUAAUGGCGGAAAAGACAAAGUUCAACCAGCUAACAUUGCAGAUGCUGCUCAGAGAAAGCAGCAAAUGUUACUCCAACAAGCUUUGCCGCCUGUUGCGCCUAAUAAUCUACUGGUACAUCAUCUUCUUACAGUUUAUUUAACAACUUGAUUUCUUGAUUUUCCUCUAUUUUUCAACUUCUUAAUGAGAAUGAAAAGAUCCCAAGACUACGCCUUUUUGCUGAUUCUUCCCCCCCAUGAAUUUACAGCAUGGGCCUGCUUUCAUCUUCCCUUUGAAUCAACAACAGGCAGCUGCAGCUGCUGCUGUUCGACCAGGUCCCGUGAAGUCACCUAGCACAAUGGGCCCUUCUGUCCCUUCUAACACACCUAAUGCUGCUGCUGGAACUGCUUCAGCUACAGCUGGUGGAGCUGCUACUGCAAUUAGCUUCAACUAUCCAAAUAUGUCUCCUAAUGAUGCUCAGUAUUUGGCGAUCUUGCAGAAUAACGCGUAUGCUUUCCCGAUACCAGCUGUAGGACCACCUCCGAAUUAUCGAGGAACUCAUCCUCAGCCCAUGCCAUUGUUCAAUGGAUCUUUCUAUUCUUCCCAGAUGAUUCAUCCUUCCCAGGUUCAGCAACAUCAACAGCAGCAUCAACAACAACAGCAUCAGCAACAUCAUCAGCAUCAGCAUCAGCAUCAGCAACAUCAACAGCAGC